GACGAACCGUGCGAACGUUGUUCGGAAUCACUGGGCUUAAAGGGCGCGUAGGCGGGCGAUCAAGUCAGGGGUGAAAUCCGUCGGCUUAACCGGCGAAGAGCUUUUGAUACUGGUCGUCUCGAGGGAGGUAGGGGCAUACGGAACUUCCGGUGGAGCGGUGAAAUGCGUAGAUAUCGGGAGGAACACCAGCGGCGAAGGCGGGCAUCUGGGCCAACACUGACGCUGAGGCGCGAAAGCUAGGGGAGCAAACAGG
rnacentral:rRNA from 1 species